UACGGGGGGAGCAAGCGUUGUUCGGAUUUACUGGGCGUAAAGGGCGCGUAGGCGGCCACCGCAAGUCGAUUGUGAAAUCUCCGGGCUUAACUCGGAAAGGUCAACUGAUACUGUGCGACUAGAGUGCAGAAGGGGCAACUGGAAUUCUCGGUGUAGCGGUGAAAUGCGUAGAUAUCGAGAGGAACACCUGCGGCGAAGGCGGGUUGCUGGGCUGACACUGACGCUGAUGCGCGAAAGCCAGGGGAGCGAACGGG
rnacentral:rRNA from 1 species